GAAUGUUAUAACGUCGGAUACAAUGACUCAUGGCAUUCGCUUCGGAUGUCUGCAAUCUGAUUUCAAAUCAUGACUAGUCUUAUACGCCAUUCUUUCGAAUUUCUGGAGCGGAUACAAGUUGAUAAGGCUUCGCAUCGAUGGAGCAAAAGGAAAUAAGAAGGAAGAACAGGAAGAACAGAAUUGUCAACAUCUUAAUGAAACAGCCUCUUGAAUGUAUGAUGCUUGAAUUGGAAAGUUGAAAAUGAAAUUGGAUUCCUUUGAUUUCAAAGUCUGCAAUUUUUGACAAUGUCUACAUUUCCUAAACAAUAAAUUACAUUGUAUCGGUGACUGUUCUGUUAUACAGAGGCGGAUUCUGGACUCCAGAAAAUUUGUCUAGAUUAUCUGAGAAUGUAAUGUCGAGUGUUUUAGAUGAUGUGACGACUAUUGUUCGCAGAGACUGAAGUGAGUAUUAUUUAGAGGAU